rnacentral:rRNA from 1 species
GUGAAAUUGUUGAAAGGGAAACGAUAGGGGCGAGUAUUGGUGUGUGUGUGGUGUGUAUUUGUAUAAUGCUUUUAAUAGCAUGAUGAUUGCACGCCUGCACGGCCGAGUCAAUGCCAGUUGGGGCAGCCAGACACGAUCCAGUUCAAGGUGGGGCCCGUCUUGUGGCAGGCUCUUUACAGGCUCUGGCAUCUCUUGGCAGCUGCGACUGGGUAGCGUGGGGACGACGGUUGCAUGCUUGUUUGCUUGAAUAGAUAGCAAUGUCACAAUCAAUCAAACAACAAAACAACCACACCAACCCACGCGCCUUUGACGAAAUGGCCCCUAACGACCCGUCUUGAAACACGGACCAAGGAGUCUAACAAUGCUGCAAGCAUUAGAGUGGCAAACUCGCAAUGCGCAACGAACGUGAAUCCUGCCAGUCAGAGUAAUAGUAGUAAUAUUAUCACUCUGAUGCAGCAGGGGCGGCUGUAAUAUCAAAUUACACCACCGCUCGAGCAGCAUUGUUGGGACCCGAAAGGCGGUGAACUAUGCCUGACUAGGGCGAAGCCAGAGGAAACUCUGGUGGAGGCUCGCAGCCGUUCUGACGUGCAAAUCGAUGGUCAAAGUUGGGUAUAGGGGCGAAAGACUAAUCGAACCGCCUAGUAGCUGGUUCCCUCUGAAGUUUCCCUCAGGAUAGCAGGUGCAAGAGUGUAGUUUUGUCAGGUAAAGCGAAUGACUAGAGGUCUUGGGGCAGUAACUGCCUCAACCUAUUCUCAAACUUUAAAUGGGCAAGGCGGUGGCUGUUGCGUUGAUAGUCAUAUUUAUGUAUGAUUCGG